UACGGGGGGGGCAAGCGUUGUUCGGAAUUACUGGGCGUAAAGGGCUUGUAGGUGGCCAACUAAGUCAGACGUGAAAUCCCUCAGCUUAACUGGGGAACUGCGUCUGAUACUGGAUGGCUUGAGUUUGGGAGAGGGACGCGGAAUUCCAGGUGUAGCGGUGAAAUGCGUAGAUAUCUGGAGGAACACCGGUGGCGAAGGCGGGUCUCUGGGACGUUACUGACGCUGAGACGCGAAAGCGUGGGGAGCAAACAGG
rnacentral:rRNA from 1 species